rnacentral:rRNA from 1 species
CGCAUCUGUGCAUGCAGCAUAUCAAUAAGCGGAGGAAAAGAAACUAACAAGGAUUCCCCUAGUAACGGCGAGUGAAGCGGGAAGAGCUCAAAUUUGAAAUCUUAAAGGGUUUCCCUUUACGAAUUGUAGUUUAAAGAAGUGUUUUCUGUUGAGGUUUUGGUAAAAGUUCUUUGGAAUAGGACAUCAUAGAGGGUGAGAAUCCCGUAUUUGACCUUUGCUCUCAACUUUGUGGAUACACUUUCAAAGAGUCGGAUUGUUUGGGAAUGCAGUCCAGAAGUGGGUGGUAAAUUUCAUCUAAAGCUAAAUAUUGGCGAGAGACCGAUAGCGAACAAGUACCGUGAGGGAAAGAUGAAAAGAACUUUGAAAAGAGAGUUAAACAGUACGUGAAAUUGUCAAGAGGGAAGCGUUUGACACCAGUGUUGUUUUUCUGAAAAUCAAUUAAAGAACUGUUUAUGCUAAGUUGUUUAGACUUUAUCAGCUAACUGUUUAGCUUUGAGCUUUUCUUUAAUGCACUUUUCAGUUAACAAGUCAACAUCAAUUUCUUUUGCUGUAAAAAAGCUUGAGGAAGGUGGCUUGAGAUUCGUCUUAAGUGUUUAUAGCCUCUUGCCUAUGUAGUCGGAGAGAUUGAGGUCUGCAGCGUAGAUCCUUCGGGGCUAAAUGCAUUCGUGCUAAGUUAUAGCAUUUUAUAGACAACUUGUUGACUAUGAUUUGUCUUGUAGCUUACUCGCUUAUGUUAUUUUACCUACGCUUAGGAUGUUGAAUCUGUGCGAGACUAC